GACAGAGGGUGCAACCGUUGUUCGGAAUUACUGGGCGUCAAGCGCGUGUAGGCUGCUUGGAAAGUCGGAUGUGAAAGCCCUGGGCUCAACCUAGGAAGUGCAUUCGAAACUUCUGAGCUUGAGUAUCGGAGAGGAAGGCGGAAUUCUCGGUGUAGAGGUGAAAUUCGUAGAUAUCGAGAGGAACACCGGUGGCGAAGGCGGCCUUCUGGACGAUUACUGACGCUGAGACGCGAAAGCGUGGGGAGCAAACAGG
rnacentral:rRNA from 1 species